UAUGAAGGGGGCUAGCGUUGCUCGGAAUCACUGGGCGUAAAGGGCGCGUAGGCGGCUUUAUAAGUCGGGGGUGAAAGCCUGUGGCUCAACCACAGAAUUGCCUUCGAUACUGUAGAGCUUGAGACCGGAAGAGGUAAGUGGAACUGCGAGUGUAGAGGUGAAAUUCGUAGAUAUUCGCAAGAACACCAGUGGCGAAGGCGGCUUACUGGUCCGGUUCUGACGCUGAGGCGCGAAAGCGUGGGGAGCAAACAGG
rnacentral:rRNA from 1 species